AGAGUUUGAUUCUGGCUCAGGAUGAACGCUGGCGGCGUGCCUAAUACAUGCAAGUGAAACGGGUAUCUUCGGAUACCAGUCGCGGACGGGUGAGUAAUACAUAGGCAACCUGCCUUUAUGAGGGGGAUAACCGAGGGAAACUUUGGCUAAUACCGCAUGAAGACUCUAAGGCAUCUUAGAGGGAUAAAGUUGGGAAACAACGCAUGAAGAUGGGCUUAUGGCGCAUUAGCUAGUUGGUGAGAUAGAAGCCCACCAAGGUAAUGAUGCGUAGCCGACCUGAGAGGGUGAACGGCCACAUUGGGACUGAGACACGGCCCAAACUCCUACGGGAGGCAGCAGUAGGGAAUUUUCGGCAAUGGGGGGAACCCUGACCGAGCAACGCCCGCGUGAAGGAAGAAGGUUUUCGGAUUGUAAACUUCUGUUAUAAGGGAAGAACGGAUUGGAUAGGGAAUGAUCUGAUAGUGACGGUACCUUAUUAGAAAGCCACGGCUAACUACGUGCCAGCCGCCGC
rnacentral:rRNA from 1 species